rnacentral:rRNA from 1 species
CAAGUCGAGCGGAAACGAUCCUAGCUUGCUAGGAGGCGUCGAGCGGCGGACGGGUGAGUAACGCGUGAGAAUCUACCCAUGAGUGGGGGACAACCCGGGGAAACUCGGGCUAAUACCGCAUACGCCCUACGGGGUAAAGCAGGGGACCUUCGGGCCUUGCGCUGAUGGAUGAGCUCGCGUCGGAUUAGCUUGUUGGUGAGGUAAAGGCUCACCAAGGCGACGAUCCGUAGCUGGUCUGAGAGGAUGAUCAGCCACACCGGGACUGAGACACGGCCCGGACUCCUACGGGAGGCAGCAGUGGGGAAUCUUGGACAAUGGGGGCAACCCUGAUCCAGCCAUGCCGCGUGUGUGAAGAAGGCCUUCGGGUUGUAAAGCACUUUCAGCGGGGAGGAAGGCUUACCCCUAAUACGGGUGAGUACUUGACGUUACCUGCAGAAGAAGCACCGGCUAAUUUCGUG